GUGGGGAAUCUUAGACAAUGGGCGCAAGCCUGAUCUAGCCAUGCCGCGUGAGCGAUGAAGGCCUUAGGGUUGUAAAGCUCUUUCGUGGGGGAAGAUAAUGACUGUACCCCAAGAAGAAGCCCCGGCUAACUCCGUGCCAGCAGCCGCGGUAAUACGGAGGGGGCUAGCGUUGUUCGGAAUUACUGGGCGUAAAGCGCACGUAGGCGGAAUGGAAAGUCAGGGGUGAAAUCCAGGGGCUCAACCACGGAAGUGCCUUUGAAACUCCCAGUCUUGAGUUCGAGAGAGGUGAGUGGAAUUCCGAGUGUAGAGGUGAAAUUCGUAGAUAUUCGGAGGAACACCAGUGGCGAAGGCGGCUCACUGGCUCGAUACUGACUCUGAGGUGCGAAAGCGUGGGGAGCAAACAGGAUUAGAUACCCUUGUAGUCC
rnacentral:rRNA from 1 species